rnacentral:rRNA from 1 species
ACGGGAGGCAGCAGUGGGGAAUAUUGCACAAUGGGCGAAAGCCUGAUGCAGCAACGCCGCGUGAGGGAUGAAGGUUUUCGGAUUGUAAACCUCUGUCUUCGGUGAAGAUAAUGACAUUAGCCGAGGAGGAAGCCACGGCUAACUACGUGCCAGCAGCCGCGGUAAUACGUAGGUGGCAAGCGUUGUCCGGAUUUACUGGGUGUAAAGGGAGCGCAGGCGGGAAAGCAAGUCAGCGGUGAAAUGCAUAGGCUUAACCUAUGAACUGCCGUUGAAACUGUUUUUCUUGAGUGGAGUAGAGGCAAGCGGAAUUCCGAGUGUAGCGGUGAAAUGCGUAGAUAUUCGGAGGAACACCAGUGGCGAAGGCGGCUUGCUGGGCUCUAACUGACGCUGAGGCUCGAAAGUGUGGGGAGCAAACAGGAUUAGAUACCCUGGUA